UUACGGCCAUAUCACGUUAAAACUCCGCUUCUCAUACGAUCAGCGGAGUAAAGCAAGGUUGCGCCUGCUCAGUACCUAGAUGGCUGACCGCUCGGUAAUACCAAGUGUUGUAAG